GUCCAACAAUAUUCGACACUUGGUAAAAAGGCCCGCAUCAAAAAAAUUGUGGGACGCGUAUACGCCUGCUUUCCGACAGCCGAACCUUAAGAAAACCAGCCAACCAUGGAAGAAUGAUUAGCAACUCCCAUAAGCCAUCGCGCUGCUGAUCGUCGUUGUUUAUGUGGAAUCUACAAGUGAGGAUUUAGGGCUCAGGAGUUCGUUUCUUGUUUACGUCGUUCAGCGUUGGUACGUCGCCAAAAAAAUACAAGUCUUUGCCGAAUGAACCAGCGUGGUAUUUUGCCCUUCGUUGGAGGAUUCAUGCCUUGCAGUUCUUCGCCGGCUUAGAUUCAGCGAUAUUUCAAAUAUGAUUGUAGGCAAAUACUGUGCAAGCGGGUGUCCCUUGUUUGACUGCCAAAGGCAAAGAAAAAUGGAGCAGCCUCUUAAUGAGUGCUUAGAUGUUACGUGACUGAACGAGUGGUGGUAGGCACACCGCGCUGUGUGCAUGAUGUGCUUUAUUGGUCUUUUAAGCGGCAAAUAGAUCCCAGCACAGGAAUCAAAUGUGUGGACAAAAGAGAAUGCAAUCACCCUGUCAAACUUCGUACAUUCGAGGAAGCUUGAUAUCUGUAAUAAAUAUUUGCCUCUUGACAGACAGCUGGUGCUGAUAGGCAACAUAUUU